GGAGCUAUCGAUGGCAAUCGUUUGAAUGGUACUACUGCAUGAUGGAACCCUGUGUUAUGGCCUCGGAGGAGAACACGUAUGGAGAGGGAGAUGGGCAGGCGAGAGUGUGUGUGUGUGUGUGUGUGUGUGUGUGUGUGUGUGUGUGUGUGUGUGUGUGAGAGUGAGAGUGAGAGUGAGAGUGAGUGAGUGAGUGAGUGAGUGAGUGAGUGAUUAAUAUCAGUGUGUGUGUUUUGGGGUCAUCGAUAUCAGCGACUUGACAUUGUCAUAGGGAGAAACUCCCUAAAUAAAAGCAAUUAGCAUCCUGUUUGACAGCUGGUGCCUUAUGAGUGGCUGUGUGCAUAGCUUUGGCCUUGCCAGAAAAUCUUUGCUUGAUUAAAAGUCAGGAGUAAUUUGUAAAAGCAUUGAUAUACCUCUGGAUGAUUUGAUGUAACCACUUUAACGUAAUGGUUCACACAACAAAACACUGCCCUUUCUUUGGUGAAUCAACAUUUUAAUAGAGAAUAGCUGGCAGAUGAGGAUAAGUGGCACUUCAUAA